CUGAAGCAAAUACCAGCAACUACCCACCACAUAACAAAAACACCAACCCAGGAACCAAACCCUGCAACAAACCUCGGUGCCAACUCUGUCCACAUAUCUAUUCAAGGGAUAUUCAAAGCACUGGUCAUGGGACUGAGAUUAGGAGGAUGAACCUCCAGUUCUUCACAGUAUGAUGGUUUUUUUCAUAGCCUACUUAAAGAGAUGGAAUUUGAGAUAACUAAUUCUAACAUGCCAGAUGAGAUUGGAGAAGGGCAGAUGCUGCACUGAUCAGGGAUAUGACCUUCUCCAAGGCAUAAUAGAUACCUUAUGUGUCCAUCCAUAAUGAAUGUAAAUCUCCUGCAUGUGGGGUAGCGUUUGCCUCUGCCAUGAGGUGAAAGGAGGUCUUGACAUUGACCAAUAAGCUGGGAAAACUAAGGCUAAAAAAACGCCAACAGGACACUAAAGAUUACAGGAUACCAGGAGUUGGGAGGUACACAAACAUUCCACAGGACCACUGUAGAUGCUUACUGUAGGAUACAGUUGUGACAGAUGUGAGACCUUGGAAGUAUGGAAACUUCAAAAGUCUAUUUUGCUGAGAUGUGCCAGAUGCUGUGGGCCCAAGGAUUAUUCUUAAAUGUAUGUACCUAUAAAUGUUAUAUGUAUCUUUGUGAGCAAGGGAUUGUAUGCUAACUCCAUGGUGAGGGUUACUGAGCUUCCUCCAGGAACUAAAAACAGGGAAUAAUUACUGCAAUUCCUGGGACAGGCAAACCAUUCCAGAGAAGUACCACCUUGAAGGGGGAUGAGGGAGGGGAAAUGGAAGAGAUCCAGGAGACAAAGGGCUUUUGGUAUAAAGGGUCAGCGUGGACUGACUUAAAGAUCCUCAUUUUGAUUCAAAAAGUGACACGAGAUUGUAACCUAAAAGGCUAAACCCUGCUGGAAGGGUUUGAAAGACUGCGACCUGAUAGAUUCUCCAUGUAGAAGAUGGGUGACACCUGGUAAGCUUAGCGUGCAUGUAGACUAUCGUUUUAUUAUAUGUUUUCUCUGUAAUACUUUUGUCUUAAAUAAAUGUACUGUACUUUGUGAACAUUGGCUGCUCACUGGGAAACACUGUCAUAGUCCCUGAGAGAGAGCAGAGCCAUGGGGUGCUGGACUAAGGUCAGACCUGCUGGGAUAGUCACAGUGAACUACAAGUACUAUACUGUAUAUACUAACUAAAGUAUAAAUGGGUUAAUAAAAAGAUACGUUUGUGGAGGAUAGAUCCAUCAGUGGCUAUUAGCCAAAAUGGCCAGAGAUGCAACCCUAUGCUACGGGUGUCCUAAACUUCUGACUGCCAGAAACUGGGACUAGAUGACAGGGGCUGGAUCAUUUGAUAAUUGCCCUGUUCUGUUCAUUCCCUCUGAAGCAUCUGGCUCUGGCCGCUAUCAGGAGACAGGAUAUUGGGCUAGAUGAACAAUUGGUCUGACCCAGUAUGGAUGUUCUUAUGCUCUUAAUUGCAGGGGGACUGCAAGUCUAAAUCCCUUGUCUGGAGGGAAAGGGACACAAGUCCCCACCAACAAAGAGGUGAUAGCUAGAGGCCUGAGAUCUAAAAGGUGUGCCCUUGAGCAGACUAGGGAGGGUGCAGAGAUGGAGUUAACCCCAGAACUGUGGCAACAGCUUACACACUGCCCUAAAUACAGAGGAUAUUUCUUUUCAAAUUUGCUAGGUAGUGGUGUAUUGUCUUUAAUAAAUCAACUGAUUUUCUUACCUUUCUCAAAAACCCACCCCAUGUGACUGCUGUAAACAUUCCCCUUCUUGCCUGUGAAUAUUUAUGAAUUCUUAACACAUACAAUGCUCUCUUUUAUUAAAAAUGUUCUUCUGCUAAAAACUCAAGUUCACUUACCGCAGAAUCCUUUAAAACAAAACAAAAAUGUCUACAAAAGCAUUUUGGAAUGUUUUGUUUUUUGGGGAGAUGGGGGAGGGAAGAUGGCACUUUUCACAGUUACAUCUGUGUGCACAGGUGUAGACUGCGGUUAUGUAAAGGAAGUGGGUGACUUAAGGGCAAACUUAAAUGUAUUAUAACAACUUGAUCUGUACUUCUGAUUUCCUUAUGUUUCUUUUUUGAACAGUGUUCAAAGACUGCUAAACUAAAAUUUGGUUCUGCAUUAUGGUAUUUGGCAUGUAAAGUUGCUGGGGACACUGAGACAUUACAUGCUACAAUUUGAUGCAGGUGGGAACUGAAUUUGUGUGGUUACAACAUACAUAGCUUGAUGAGUUGUGCUCUGAAAUAAAGAGAACUGACACUUCAUAUUUCGUAACUCCCUCUGGCCUAUAUGUAUUGUACCAAGAGUUUUUCUGGACCAUCCCUCCUCACUCCCUCUCUUCUCUUCAAAGCAAGACAAGUCCACAACUAGUAAAAGUUAAGGUCAAUUAAAAGUUAGAUUAAUUGGUUCAUUUCUUAACAUAAGGGCGUUUGCUUACUCUGAAUAGCUGACACACAAUUGGUCUUUAGGAGUUAUGCACCCAGGACCCAGAAGAACCAACAAAGAACAUGAAGAUUUAGAAAUCCCUAGUUUUCUAUUUCCCUGAAAAAAAGCUCUGAGGCAGCCACUAGUCAGUUUUACACAUCCCAGUACUUUUUAGCAAGACAAUAGGGUUUAGCCAGGAUUAGAAAGAAGGGCACGACCAGAUGCACACAGGACUAAAUUCUCUUGAUUGGACAAACUGCACUCAGCACCAGGAUUAGAAGCAAGGGGUACAAAAGUGGUUUUAAACUGCUUUUACAUUCUCUUGGUCUGGAGCAGUUUUAACAUAAGCCCAACUGUGAGUGACCAUAAGGGGCCAUUUUGAUAGGCUGGGAUGUGGGGAUGCCCCACCAAAUCCACUUUCCUCUGGAAAUACUCCCAGUGUCAGGGGCCCCAAUCCACUUUUAGCCCAGUGGGUAGAGGAGUCACCUGGAACAUGGGAGAUCCAGGUUCAAUUCACGCCUCUGCCUGAGAGGAGACAAGAGAGUGAGAAUGGCCCUAAUGCCUGAUUGUUAGGGAAACCCAGGGUUCAGCCCUGGCUCCAGUGACUCUACUCUUUAAUUAUUUACACACAGCAGAAGACCUACAUCAGAAUAUCCCAUAGUCUAGUAGUUAGAGCACUCUCCUGGGAGGCAGGAAACCCCAUAUACAAAUCCUUUCUCCCACUCUGGCAGAGAGGGGGUAAGUUAACCUGGGUCUCCCACAUCCCAGGCAAGUUCUCUAACCACUGGCCUAAAGGUUAUACGGUAGGUAACACCACUACCACGUCCUCCUCAAGCCAGAUUUUGAAUGGGGCCCAAUCCAGUAGGCAGCAUCUAGCACACAUAUAGGAUCGGGCCCUGCAUGCAACUUAGGCAGCUUGAAUUCAUAUCUUUCGCGAAUCUCUCUGGGGCUUGGGUUGGAGAUAUGUAUCCAGAUCCGUAGAGGGAGGCAACAGUGCAUAUGCCCAGGGGCAGAAACUUAGAUACCUAGGAACUUUUCCUUUGAAAACAUAGGCACUGAGUGAGUUUAUUGCCUUACAACUUUCAGUGGGAGUUUUGUGGAUCACAAUGGAGCCAAAACUGGGACUUAAGCACUUAAACCUGAGACUUAGGUGCCUAAGUACCUUUGUGGGUCCGGCCCCAAGUUAGUUUAGGUGCCUACAAGGUUAGGUAGUAGUUGAGGGGGGAUUUUGUGAAUCACAGGGAAGCCUAAAACUGGGACUUGGGUAUCUAAAUCUGGGGUUUAGGUGCCUAAGUACAUUUGUGAAUCUGGGCCUGAGAGUCUCUGUGUCAAGCAGGGAUUCCCUUAGCACAAGGGAAAUCUUCAAAGGGCAGGAUCUAUGGUCUUUACAUCUUUUUUGCACUGCCAGAGCAGUCCAAAGUGACCUUAAUGCAGCCAAGACUUUGGUGCACACAGUCCAUACAGUGUGCAUGCCAUCAUAGAGUUCUAAAACUGAGAGACACAAAUUGCUCUUAGUCUAUGCAUGGACCUCCCACUGAUGUCGAUUAAAAGCAUUUCAAUGUCUGGAUCAAAGUGAUCAUGUCCUGAAGACUAAACCAUAGCCUAUUGUGACCUUUGUCCUCAUAAAGGCCAUAUUUACUUAUUUCUUGCAGUGUGUUAAUGUAGGAUAUUUGCACAGCUGAAAACAUACACACCUUGAACAAUUCCACAGAAGCUAAUACCAAGCUAGUUGAUUAAAAAUUUUAACUUAUAUAAAGUAAAGUAGGAUACUUCCUCUGACGCUGCACUUAAUUUGUACAUAUGGAAAAGAGCUAGUCUCUCUCUAUAUAUAUAUCAGUUAGAUCUAUUAAUUUGUGGAGUACUCUCUAUGGGAAUUAAUUUCUCCAUCACUAGAGAAAUUUAAUACUCUACAGGAUACUGAAAGGAACAAUCCAGGUUUGGGACAGUAGGGUAGACAAGACAUACUGCAUCUUUUCCAGCUAUAAAGUCUUUGAUUCUCAUUGGUGCCAAUGCAGGCAUUUGUAAGAAACUCAUUUUAUAGGUUUGUAAAAAUAAAACUGAUAAUACCUGAAUGACUUUUCACCCCUUGACUUGAGUGUCUAGUGUUAGAACUUUGUCACCAGUGUGGUGGUGUUUAUCACACUUUUGCUGAAGAAGUGGGAAAUGGCUGGAAGAUGGCAGAGUAAUAAUAGGAAAAAUGAACCUUGAUUUGUAUAAACACAAGUAUAAAACUUGCAUAGUCAAAGUAAAAAACAUUGAUCUUUGUGAUACCUCUGCUGAUUCAUUCUAUAAUGUUUAUAUAUUCAUACUAGAAAAUAACACUUUUGAAGCUGUCAUCUCAUCUUCUUCUACACAUACAAAUUUUCCUGUGUAACUGAAGACAAAGAAGAGCUCUGACAGUUGCUUCAAUAUUAAUGGGUUCUUUAAGUACUUAAGCAUCAUGCCUUCAAGCAUUCAUUAAGACUGAGGAUCCUAAUGACUAAUCAAAUUAAUAUAAUUUUAAAAUGGAGACUGUAAAAAAAAUUGUAGCUACACAUUUGUAAAAAAAAUUACGCAGAAUUAGGAUUAGAUUAUUUCUUUUACUACUGGCUUGUUUAUAAUCUAAGAAUAUAUUUGCGUAAUAUAAUCUAUAAUUUGCCAAAUUGCAACCCCCCACCAUGAAUGACUUAACUCUCCCCUGAGCCCUUCCUCACCCAUAUGCCAUUCUCUUUUUCCAUGUUAUUGAUGACUUUUUCAACAAGAGUGACAAGAUCAGACAUGACAAACCCCCUCUUACUUUUCCUUUCACCUACCUGUCCCCUCUCCUCCUUCCCCCUAUCACUGACAUUGAGGAAUUUAACGUGUUUUUCUCCUCUAACCAUUCCACCUUUCCCAGGGAUUCCAUCAUCUCAUCUCCUUCCCACCUUCCAUUCUCUUCUUAACUCUACUCUCAUCAGGUCAUUUCCGAUUACAAUAGGAUUGGGCGUAAUCAUAGUGUGCUUCUAACAAUCCUAAAGUUGAUCCACUGCCCUCUCCCAUUACUAUCUCUUCUUUUUCUUCCCCUUCACUUCUAAAUUCAAAGAAUGUGCCAUCUACAAACAUCUCAAGUUCCUCUCCAUCAACCCCAUCUUUGGUCUAUUCCUAUCUGGUUUCUGCUGUCUUCACUCCACUGAAACUACUUUCACUGAGAUCUCUUUUCUGACCAAAUCUCCGGCCUGUACUCCAUCUUCAGACUCAAACUCUCCAUUGCCUUUGACACCAAUGAUCAUUCUCUCACUCUGAAAUCUUGUUGUUCCUUGACAUUUGCAAAUCUGUCCGCUCUUAGUUCUUCUCUCUUUCUGAUCCCACCUUCAACAUCUCUUUCACAGGGUUCCUCCUUCCAGCUUUCACUUUUCAUGGAGAUUCCAUUGGGCUCUAUCCUUGGAUCCCUUCCCUUUCCCCUUGUGUCCUUUCUUGAGAUGAUCUAAUUUGUUUACAUGGCUUCGACUGUUAUCUCCACACUGAUGACUCACAAAGCUAACCCAACACUCCCAACCUCUCCCUCUCCAUCCAUUCUCAUAUCUUGGGCUGUCUUUCUGAUAGCUCAUCCCCUUGGCUCUUUCUCCAUUACUGAGGACACCACCAUUAUACACCCUUGUCAUUCAGGUUCAUAGGUUCCAUAGAUAAGACCAUCUUUGAUUCUGUCUUUUCUUUAGAUCCACACAUCAAGGUUGGGCCAAAUAUUGCAGUUUCUCUAUUCAUAACAUUUCUGAAACCAGCCUUUCCUCUAUGUCUAUACAGAUAAAACUCCCAUUUAGGCCUCAAUUCCCUCUCAUCUUGACUAUUGCAACAUCCUUCUUUUUGGCUUUCCUGACGCCCAUCUCACUCCCCUCAAGGCUAUUCAAAUGUUGCUGUUAAGACCAUCUUCUUGGGCCAUCUUUAUGACCAUCUGAGCCCUUCUUUGAGUCUUUUCACAGGAUCCCCCUUCACCACCACUUAAAAUAACGCUUCUGGUUCUCAUUUUUAAGCUCCUUCACAUUUGAGACCUCCCUACUUAUCUGUUCUUGUUUUGUCCCUUCCGCUCAGUCAACUAUGCCGCUCUGCAUUUCCCAUUUGUCUCUUUCUUCCAAAAGCACCUUUGCACUUUCUUUCAUGCUUUCUCUAAUGCACUCUUAUGAACUAGACUGUAAAACCAUUACCCUGAUCUCCUUCAUAUCCCUCCUCAAAACCCACUUCUAUCAUGAUAUCUAUAGGAAACUGAACUGAUAAUGGCUAGUAGGGAAUUCUGGUAAUUAACUUAUUCAUUUGUAUCUUUAUAAUUUUGUUUGAAAUUGACUUUUGCUGUGCACAUACCUGAUCUAUGUUAAAUGCAUGUUCUCCUACUGCUUCCCUCAUCCUCACUCCCUCUUUCCUUCUGAUGGUUACAUCAACUUGUUGUGUCUUACCUUAUUUAGAUUGUAACUCUUUGGAUCAAGGACUGUCUUUUAUUGUGUUUGUACUGUGCCUAGUACAAUGUCCUGAGACACAGAAGUACUGGCAAGAGACAGGUCUUUAUUGCCUGGCCCUAGUCACAUGACAUAGGUCAUGGUUACAAAAAUGUUUACCCCUGCGAUGGCAAAAGUCAGUAUCCAUUGACUGCAAUGGCUACAUAUAAUAAGUGUCAGCACUAAAUCUUUCUCUUUUUUAAAAUGUAGCAUAAUAAAAUUAGUAUACAAGGGAUAAAGUGCAAAGAUAUUAGAGAUAUUUGGGGGAAUUAAUAUUUGUAUAUGAUUUCAUAUUUCACUACAUGAAAAAUAAAGAAUGUAAAAAUACAAUGGGAUAAGCAAACUUAUACUUAUCAUGUAGUCCAGUCACAAUAAAACCUUUUAGUAAUUAGGAUUUCCCCCUGAUUUAUAGGAUAACUACCACUUAUGCUGGAAUACAGUUCAAUGCACAGAGUAAACUUUCCCUGAUGUCAAUGGAAGCCAUGUAUAUCAGGGGACAGUCAUCAGACAAGGGGAGGGAAAAGUACAUUUCAAUUAAAGAAGGUAAAGGAAUAUUUUGAACUUAGUUUCUUAAAAGUAUGAGAAUCCCAGGUCAUCUCAGUUUCAGUGCAUUCCACACUGGUAUGAAACCAGGAACCCAAGCUUAUUGAAUUAUAUAGUUGAUAAAGCACUUCAGAAGCAUUCAGUAUGAAAGGUGGUAUGAAAAUGUAAAUUGUUACAACCACUGUUGGUGUUGACUGCAAAUGUUGUGUAUUCCCCACCCAGAUUCUAAUUAAAGGAUUCUGUAUCACCACUAAUUAACAAUAAAGCUUUAUAAUUGUA